UUUGUUAAUAAUACUCCAAUGGGGGAAAAAAGGCACACUUGAAUUCUCCAAAAAGAAGGAAUAGGAUGAUUUUAAGAUUUUUUCACAAUCUUAAGAUACUUUCAUCGACACCUUCCUGUCCCGGUUUAGACCUGCAUUCUACAAGUGUGAUUCCACUCAAUGAAGAUUUCAUAACAAAACUUCAGCUUCCCACAGAGGCCACAGAAUCCUGAGGACAACCUGCAGGAAGCUGGGUCACUACUUUUUAUAAGGUAUUCUCCAUUGCAACCAUUCCCACGGCAAGUUCAUUUUUCUAUUAUACACCUUCAUAUUAAAAUCCUAGGUUAAAUUGAAAAAAACAGGGGCGCCUGGGUGGCUCAGUCAGUUAAGCGUCUGACUUCAGCCCGGGUCACGAUCUUGCGGUCCGUGAGUUCGAGCCCCGCGUCGGGCUCUGGGCUGAUGGCUCAGAGCCUGGAGCCUGCUUCCGAUUCUGUGUCUCCCUCUCUCUCUGCCCCUCCCCCGUUCAUGCUCUGUCUCUCUCUGUCUCAAAAAUAAA